rnacentral:snRNA from 1 species
AUCGCUUCUCGGCCUUUUGGCUAAGAUCAAGUGUAGUAUCUGUUCUUAUCAGUUUAAAAUUUAUCUUUAUUGUUGAAAGUAUUACAGGUGUCCCCUUUUUUCCCCAUUGACCCCCC